rnacentral:tRNA from 1 species
GGCGGAGUAGCUCAACCGGUGAGAGCGCGCGGCCCAUAACCGCGAGGUUCAGGGUUCGACUCCCUGCUCCGCCACCA